rnacentral:misc_RNA from 1 species
GAUGAAGAACGUAGUGAAAUGCGAUAAGUAAUGUGAAUUGCAGAAUUCAGUGAAUCAUCGAAUCUUUGAACGCACCUUGCGCCUUUUGGUAUUCCGAAAGGCACACCUGUUUGAGCGUCAUGAAUACCUCAAUCUCCAUCUUUUCUUCGGAUUGAUGGGUGACUUGGAUGUUGAGCCCUGCUGGUAUGCUAUAUCAGCUGGCUUUAAACUUAUUAGCCGGCUCUGUACUGGAUCGGUUUGACUCGACGUGAUAAUAUUAUCGUUGAGGAUGCAUGUCUCAUGCAGCCGGAAAGUAUCAAAGCAGCUUCUAGCUUGCCUUUAGUGCACUUUUACAUUUUAGACCUCAGAUCAGGUGGGACUACCCGCUGAACUUAAGCAUAUCAAUAAGCGGGGA